GAGGGUAUAGCUCACUGAUAGAGCACAUGCCUAGCAUGCAUGAAGUACUGGGUUCAAUCCUCAGUAUUGCCA
rnacentral:tRNA from 1 species